AUACUUACCUGGCAGGGGAGACACCAUGAUCAGGCAGGUGGUUUUCCCAGAGUGAGGCUCAUCCCUUGCACUCUGGGUGUGCUGACCCCUGCGAUUUCUCCAAAUGAGGGAAACUCGACUGCAUAGUAUUUGCUCUUCUCAUUGGUGGCCA
rnacentral:snRNA from 1 species